CCUACGGGAGGCAGCAGUAGGGAAUCUUCCACAAUGGGCGAAAGCCUGAUGGAGCAACGCCGCGUGGGUGAUGAAGGUCUUCGGAUCGUAAAACCCUGUUGUUAGAGAAGAAAGUGCGUGAGAGUAACUGUUCACGUUUCGACGGUAUCUAGCCAGAAAGCCACGGCUAACUACGUGCCAGCAGCCGCGGUAAUACGUAGGUGGCAAGCGUUAUCCGGAUUUAUUGGGCGUAAAGGGAACGCAGGCGGUCUUUUAAGUCUGAUGUUAAAGCCUUCGGCUUAACCGGAGUAGUGCAUUGGAUACUGGGAGACUUGAGUGCAGAAGAGGAGAGCGGAAGUCCAGGUGAAGCGGUGAAAUGCGUAGAUAUAUGGAAGAACACCAGUGGCGAAGGCAGCUUUCUGGUCUGUAACUGACGCUGAGGUUCGAAAGCGUGGGUAGCAAACAGGAUUAGAUACCCGGGUAGUC
rnacentral:rRNA from 1 species